UACGGAGGAUGCGAGCGUUAUCCGGAUUUAUUGGGUUUAAAGGGUGCGUAGGCUGGUUGUUAAGUCAGCGGUGAAAUUUCGGGGCUCAACCCCGGCAGUGCCGUUGAAACUGGCAGUCUUGAGUACAGAGUAAGUAAGCGGAAUUUGUGGUGUAGCGGUGAAAUGCAUAGAUAUCACGAGGAAUGCCGAUUGCGCAAGCAGCUUACUGUCUUGUCACUGACGCUAAAGCACGAAAGCGUGGGUAUCGAACAGGAUUAGAUACCCUGGUAGUCCACGCUGUAAACUAUGAUUACUAGCUGUUUGCGAUAUAUUGUAAGCGGCACAGCGAAAGCGUUAAGUAAUCCACCUGGGGAGUACGCCGGCAACGGUGAA
rnacentral:rRNA from 1 species